CAAAAAAUGAAAUAUCGUAAGUUUGGCAACGCGGUGAACCUUCUCUAUAUUAAACGUUCUCUGCAUUCGCUCAACUUUUUUGUUGCCAUACUAAACUAAUUGAGAAAUGUCACACGAGUUCAUCCGAAAUUGACAUAUUUGACGUAUUAUUGUUUUUGUUUUGGAAUUUUAUUAUUCGCUUAUUCGUUAUUGUGUGUUUUGAAAUUUUACCGUGAUUUUAAAAAAAUGAAUCAAAAUGUUUAACAACGUAGAUUUAUAUUUUGAAGACAGUGUUGUUGAAAGGACAACAGCGAAGUUACUUAGGCAGCGACGGUUCAUCAGAGAUCACUCUAAUCCCAUGGAACUUUCUUCAGUGUUAUUCAAAAAAAACUUUCGGUUAAGUAAGGAUGCAUUUAUGUAUGUGCUAGACAGCAUAAAGGAAAAAUGUCUGACUAACCUAUCGUCGUCAAUAUCGCCGAUGUUGAAAUUGUGCUGCGUUCUCAGAUUUUUGGCUCAUGGGAGCUAUCAGCAAACAGUGGGAAAUGAUUUCCAACUAGGUAUUGCACAGCCCACUGUUUCGUUGAUUUUUAAGGAAAUGCUUCCAAUAUUAGAAUCCACUCUGUGCAGUGUCUGGAUCAAAACAGACAUAACUGAAGAGCAGAAACAAACAGCAAGAAGGAAAUUUUUCACCAGAUCAGGAAUUCCAAAUGUGGUUGGUUGCGUUGAUGUGUGAACAAGCACUUAUAUGUGAAUAGAAAAGGAUUUUACAGCAUAAAUGCGAUGAUUGCAUGCGAUCAGGAUAUGGUUAUAUGGUGUGUUGAUGCAAGAUAUGGAGGAUCUAAAAAAAACAUAUCUGGAGCAAACAUACCAAAAAGGAGAUCAUAAUUCGGUUUACUUAGGUAACUACAAUUUAUAUGUGUAUGUACAUACAUAAAUACUAAAAUUAAAAAUUAAAUUAUAAUAUAUAUAUAUUGGUGAUUCUGGUUAUCCACUACACGAGUAUCUAUGGACGCCUUUCCGAAACGCUUUACCAGGAACAGUGGAAUCAAAUUUUAAUAAGAAACAUGUAAAGGCAAGGAACGUAGUUGAACGGACAAUUGGAGUGCUGAAAUGCCGUUUUCGUUGUAUACUAGAUGAACGUAAACUACGAUAUCCUCCUAGUAAAGCAACUGUUAUUGUAAAUGUUUGUUGUGCUUUACACAAUAUUUGCAAACAAUAUAAUGUGAAUGAUCCUGAAGAAGAAACUUUUGUUGAUGUGGUAGUACCACUGGAACCAGUUGAAGGAAACUUCGCCGAAUGGGUCCUAUUUCAGUCUUUAAAUUCUUUUGUAUGUUUUUAUAUAAAUUUAUUUAUUGUAACUAUGGAUAAUAGAGUGUGGUAACUAUGGUAUUUGUUUAGAGUUGAUGACUUCGUACAAUGAAUUUUAAAUUAAAAAUUAUCAGACUCCAUUUCCUUUAACUCUUUCUCAUUUAUCUUCAAAUCUAAUAGAAAAAAUUCAUAAGUAGUAAAUAUG